CCCCCCCCUUUUUUUUCGUUUCCUUUUUUCUUCCUUUGUUUACAAUAUUUUUUUUAAUUUUUUUGCUGGUAGAGUGACUUUAAAAAAAGUACUUAACAUGAAUAUAAAUAAAGUAAGUAUUGCUUUUUUGCGUAAUCGAGUGGUUUUUCUUUUCCUCCAGGCUCUGUACAUCAAUUGUUUGAGUAUCUUUUUGAUGUUCCAGUCAUCCUGUUCUUCUUCCCUCUUGUCAGAUUUGGUAGUCAAAUAUUAAGUAUAAUUGCAUCACUCCUCAAUUUACUUUUGCGAUUUUUUACCAUCAUCUCCCUGAGCAAACUCCUGCAGCAACGCAAUGGAACUUUUCCACCAUUUUUAAGCAGUAUUUUAGGAGCUGCAGUAGAUGGUGAAGAACGCUCAUAUGAAGAUAUCGAUCGCACAACAAUCCACCAAAGUGUGCCACAAACUGAAGUUGGUUUGGAUGCAAAACUUUCCUGUAAACAACACUCAAAAAUCCCACCAAAAACCUCCCAAUGCAAAUUUACUCCUGAUAAAAAUUCCAAAGAGACCAGUGAAGACGAAGUUCCAAAUUCUUCAAAAACUCUUUCACACACGCCUUCAAAAACCUCCCAAUGUAAAUCUAAUUACGGUCAGUGCCUUGCCAAGACUUAUGAAGAUGAACUUGUAGAACCUUCAGAAAUCGCUUCGAGAACCUCCUCUAAAGCCUCGGUGUGCGAAGUCAUCACUCCUGAUCAAUAUCCUGAGGAGGCCCCUGAAGACAAAAAUGUGCAAUCCUCAAAAACCUUUCAAUGCAAACGAACUCCCGAUCAUUCUCCUGACAAAACUUGUGAACGGAAGUGUUGAGUGAGCACCUUGCUUCAGUCAACUUGCAAAUGACCGCCAUAGGUCAACAUUCAGAAGCAAAGAUAAUUUCAAAGUCCUAAAAUUUCUUGUCCUUACUUUUACAAUACCAAUUUUGAGCUAUUAAUUAGAUUGAGUUCAGUUUUUGUCGUUUUCAUUAGGUAAAUAGGCACACAUAUUAAAUUCAAAGAAACCGAUAAAUUAGAAAAUCUUGUGGAGACUGAAUGGUACGCAUUUUCUUUUAAUAUUUACUCUAGAAAAUCCCAAACCCUAAAAGUAGUGCACUGCAUUUCAAUGGAGAUUACGCAAAAUCGUCAGUUUUGGCUCACGUACAGAAUCGCACCGAAUUAUCGGAGCUGAUAGGGGAUCCUUCAAGGUGCCUGAAAAUGGUUGCUUUUGCUCUAAACCCUAGUGAACUCGAGAAACGGGAGAUGAAAUUGAAAAUCUUUUAGUGCCCAUAACUUUAGAACGGAUUAAGUUUUUUUUUUAUUUAUUUUUUUUUCAUUUUUCUGUAUUGAAAAAUAUUAAACGUUAACAGUCCUGUCUAAUCAAGUUUUAAAACUUGAAAGAAGGUUCAUUUUGAAUCAGUUAUACCUAUGGGGAUUUUUCGUCAGUGGACCUAAUUUUUUCCAGCUUUUUUUUAUUUUUUCUUGUCCUUUUUCAAUUUUUGUUUAGUUUCGAGCAUUGUAGUUAGAGUUACAAAAUUAUUUCUCCUAAAACAAGACCUCUCAAGCUUUAAAACGAACUCAAAAUUAUGCUGGGGAAAUGAUUUACGGUCGUUUAAAGUUGGCCCAGCGGUCCGUUAGAGAUUCUAGGCACAGUAGAACGCCCUAGGAUGUGGCUCAAAAUUUGUUUUGAGAGGGCGAAAAAUUAAGGGGAAAAGAACAACCAUUUUUCGGCCUUUCUGGUAAUCCUCUAUCAGCCCUGAGAAGUAGGUGCAAUUCGGGGGGGGGGGGGGGGGGGUAAAAAUAUGCCGAUUUCGCACACGGUCCGUUCUAAAUUUUUGCAGCUUAGUGGUGCAUGCUAAAAGGUUAGGUACUUUUGUUUCUCCCAUCCAGAUUUUAAAAAUUGCAUUUACAUUCUCAUUAUAUUACAAAUAGUAAUCGCCUGCCCAAACAGCCUGUCAUUUUAUAAACGCUUGAAGAAUACGCUCCCAAAAUGUCCAAAGCAAGAGGUCCUUACCAUAGAUUUUUACGUUGACUUUAUGUAA
rnacentral:lncRNA from 1 species